GACGAACGCUGGCGGCGUGCUUAACACAUGCAAGUCGAACGGAAAGGCCCUGCUUUUGUGGGGUGCUCGAGUGGCGAACGGGUGAGUAACACGUGAGUAACUUGCCCUUGACUUUGGGAUAACUUCAGGAAACUGGGGCUAAUACCGGAUAGGAGCUCCUGCUGCAUGGUGGGGGUUGGAAAGUUUCGGCGGUUGGGGAUGGACUCGCGGCUUAUCAGCUUGUUGGUGGGGUAGUGGCUUACCAAGGCUUUGACGGGUAGCCGGCCUGGGAGGGUGACCGGCCACAUUGGGACUGAGAUACGGCCCAGACUCCUACGGGAGGCAGCAGUGGGGAAUAUUGCACAAUGGGCGGAAGCCUGAUGCAGCAACGCCGCGUGCGGGAUGACGGCCUUCGGGUUGUAAACCGCUUUCGCCUGUGACGAAGCGUGAGUGACGGUAAUGGGUAAAGAAGCACCGGCUAACUACGUG
rnacentral:rRNA from 1 species